CACUUGGGGGCGCUUGACUCCUUGAAGGUGGGUUCACUAUCUUCACAGCGGGGUGUGAAAUCCAGUUCAGCUCCUGAACCCCACAAUUGUUCAACAGCCUUUUGGUGCCUGACCGGUUUCCAAAGACAGAAUCUGGCCAACUAGGACAUUUUCUUUCGGCACUCACAUGACAGAGGCAACAGCAUUGUGUCUGGUUUAAGCAGGCGAGCUCUUCAAACCCAGGCCACGGGCAAGUACAAAGCCUGAACACAGAACAAUAGCCACAAGAGAGUGGACCAGGAUGCCGUGUCCUAACACACGAGGUCUACAGCCAAGAAGAAGAGGAUGUCUCUUAGGAGGAUAAGCACACCAUCCUUCCAGAAGCGGAGGAGGAGGAGGCCUUCUCCCCAGGCCCUGGGGAAUAUUGUGGGCUGCAGAAUUUCUCACGGAUGGAAGGAAGGUGAUGAGCCCGUCACCCAAUGGAAGGCCAUCAUUCUAGAUCAACUGCCAAUAAAUCCCUCUCUCUAUCUGGUCAA